ACGGGAGGCAGCAGUGGGGAAUAUUGGGCAAUGGGCGAAAGCCUGACCCAGCGACGCCGCGUGAGCGAUGAAGGUCUUCGGAUUGUAAAGCUCUGUUGACAGGGACGAUAAUGACGGUACCUGUCGAGGAAGCCACGGCUGACUACGUGCCAGCAGCCGCGGUAAUACGUAGGUGGCAAGCGUUAUCCGGAUUUACUGGGUGUAAAGGGUGUGUAGGCGGGGGAGCAAGUCAGAUGUGAAAUCUAUGGGCUUAACUCAUAGACUGCGUCUGAAACUGUUCUUCUUGAGAGUCGGAGGGGUAAUCGGAAUUCCCGGUGUAGCGGUGAAAUGCGUAGAUAUUAGGAGGAACACCAGUGGCGAAGGCGACUUUCUGGACAGUAACUGACGUUGAGGCACGAAAGUGUGGGGAGCAAACAGGAUUAGAUACCCUGGUA
rnacentral:rRNA from 1 species